UGGGGCUGGAGCCACUGGCUAUACAUGAGCUUUAGUUUUCUGGUAGGGAGAAGAACGUCAGUGUGACUUGUCAGGGUCGUUUGUUAUCACAGUGCAAUUUCACCUAAUCAAACGCACAUACGCAAUCGAAACUGCAGUAGAAUUACUAAUCUAAAGGUAUGAAUUAUUUGCAUUUUUCUUGAACUGGCUAAUUAGAAUUUAAAUUAAAUUUAUAGAUUCUACCUAGGAUUGCGCGAAUCGAAGAGUUUUUUUCUGUUUUAGUGGACGAACUUAAAAAGGGCACUAAAUGUAAAUAUGAAAUUUACCGUCAUGAAGACACAGCAACUAAUAAAUCUCCCUUUUUAGCUUUGAGCUGAACCACAGUAAGAACUAAGUCUGCUUCUUUGAUUGGCCCGAACUAAUACCGCUAACAGAAAACUCAAAGAUUUACCUGUUCAACAUCAUGAGCAAGCCACCGAUUACUCGGCAGACUCGUUCCCAGACGAGAGCUGCCCAAGAGCUUGCGAGACAUAACCUACAAACCGAGGAAGUUGCUGAUGAGGGUGCAGUUCUACAAUUUGAAGCCUCUGUGGUAGACCUUCAAGGAGGAGAAGAAGUUGACUGCGGUAGUUGCAUUCGACCCAAUAAUGCCGAGACGUUUAUGGUCCAAUGUUCGCGAUGCUUCCUCUACUACCACUUCUCGUGUGCGGGAGUGACCGUCGCCACCGUUAAUCUCCAGCCGUUCAUUUGUAAGACCUGUAUUCCUCUCGGGCCGCCAGAGAAAAUCCCUUCAGCUCGCUCUGGAACAACUUCGAGCUUACGUAGCUCACAGCUUUCGUUGGAACUACGAAGAGUGGAGGAGGAGAUACAACUGGAAGAGGAGAUUUCCCAGCAGCUUGAACGCAAGAAGAAGUUGAUUGCUAAAAGAUACGAUCUUAUGAGCCAAAGAGAUGAUGUCAAGUCACGCAGCAGCGGUCGUAGUAACCGAACGACGCCAAAUAGAGUUCUCAACUGGAUCGAGACACAGGGAAAAGCCGGUAAAUCCGACCCUGCCGAUUCCGUGAACCUACUGAGCGGUAAUCCGGUCGGCCGGCUCAACGCGGGACUCACAUCUACACCGGUUAAUAAGAGCAAAUCUGUAGACGACCUGGCUAAACUUGAAAAGUUUUCAGCUGGAGGAAUCGGCGGUCCUGAUCUAAACAAACCUCCGGGCCAACUGGACCUCGAUUCGAUUCCCGAAGUUCCGGACAAACCUCGGAACAAUCCUUUCUCGAAAGGAGCCGUUGGGAAAUUGUUCAAACCGACUACGCUGUACGAAAACUGGCUGGAUCAAAUAAAUCGGAAGCCACCAGCUAACAAGCCGGAUGAUGUCGGCCGUCAACUGGCUGAUAAAGCAUUAGCUGAGAAGCUUGCACGAUUGGAAGAUCAACGUAAACAGGACCAGAACCUACAACGCGAACGAGAACAAAAGCUGAAACACCAACUGCAACGUGCAGAGCAGGAAAGACUGGAGCUGAUUAGAGAGAAGGAUCGUGUCCUGGCCGAAAACCAAAACCACCAGAAGCGCUUUGACGAAUUUCAAGAGGACUUGAUCAACCAGUUCAACGAGAUGCUAAAUCAGCAGCAGAACAACGCCAAUAGCCGACCUGAAUCCUCGGACAACUGGUAUGACCGGGAGCUGCAGCAGCUGCAGCGAUCACGAGAGUUGAACUUCAAACGAAACGAACCCACACCAACACACAGCGUGCAUUCUAGUUUGCCUUCCAUUUCGGAGGGAAUCGGAAGCCUGCCGAGCCCGUACGGAGGACGCACGGAAUCAUCUCAUCCUACGAUACCGCCGCAGGAAGAUCCAGAAGUUUCAAGCUGCUCCACUAUUCCGCCACGGCCCGUUCCGUCUGGUUCUCAUACCCGACCAUCGAAAUCGUGUCUGGAUCCACCCCCGCUUACAUCCCACCAAAUAGCUGCGCGGCAAGUGGUGUCCAAGGAACUGCCAGACUUCUUUGGCGAUCCUGCUGAAUGGCCACUGUUCAUCAGUAGAUACAAUCACUCCACAAAAGCGUGUGGCUACACUGAUUCGGAAAAUCUGCUACGUCUAGAUCGAGCUAUCAAAGGGCACGCGAGGGAGAUGGUUAGCAGCCUACUGCUCGACCCAUCCACGGUGCCGGAGUUACUGUCCUCGCUGAAACUUCUCUACGGGAGACCCGAGCAGAUCGUGCACAACCUGAUCGCCAAAGUGCGAGCCACACCAGCACCAAAGGCAGACAAAUUGGAGUCGUUGGUGACCUUUGGAUUGGUAGUGCGUAACCUGUGCGGACACCUAAGGGCAAUCGGAAUGGAGAAGCACCUUUCGAAUCCGACACUGUUAUCCGAGCUGGUGGAGAAGCUUCCCGCCAACGUGAAGUUCAACUGGGCUUUGUAUCAACACCAGCUGAAAGAGGUAGACCUGAAUUCCUUUGGGUCUUACAUGUCUCAGAUUGCGACGGCGACGAGUGGAGUUACCGUACUGUCUACGGCCCCUAGAGCUGGUCGGGACGAGCGUCAAAAAUCUAAGGAAAAAGGAUUUGUCAACGCGCACUCUGAACAAGAAGAGACAAGCGACGGUGAAGGUAGAGACCAGCCAAAGGAGCGGUUGAACGUUGUCAACAAGAUCGAAACCCAUAAGGCGUGUCCGGCUUGCGGCGUCGAAGGUCACCCUGCGAAGGACUGUAUACAAUUCAAGGAUCUGAGCUUGGAUGAUCGCUGGAAGGUGGUUAAAGCGAAAAAGCUUUGUCGACGUUGUUUGACUCCGCACUCCCGUUGGCCGUGCAACGCUGAAGCCUGCGGGGUGAACGGUUGUCAAAAAAGACACCAUCGACUUCUGCAUUACGAUCACCCACCGGUAGAACCUCAACGUACCGAGCCGACGAACGCCACGGUCACGAUUCACCGCCAGCCAAACCCGACGACCCUGUUCCGAAUCUUGCCAGUCACGCUGUACGGAGCGCGGGGGCAGGUUGACACGUUUGCCUUCUUGGAUGACGGAUCUUCGGUGACCCUUGUGGAGAGAUCGAUUGCGAACCAGCUGGGAAUUGCAGGAGAAGAUUCCUCUCUCUGUAUUCACUGGACAGGUGGCAUCAAGAAAAACAUCUCGAACACACAACUGGUAGAUCUGGAGAUUUCCGGGGUCAACAACACAAAUCGACUUAAAGCGAAAGCAGUUUACACCGUCGAAGGAUUAGGAUUGCCAGACCAGUCGAUGAAUUUCGAGGCGAUGGCGGCCAAGUACGAUUACUUGCGAAGUCUUCCUGUACAAAACCUGAUGUCCGCGGUUCCUGGUGUACUAAUCGGGCUGAACAACUUACACCUGAUGGCCCCCUUGAAGCUACGUGAAGGCAGAGAAGGCGAACCAAUCGCCACGAAAACCCGUCUUGGCUGGGCAGUUUACGGAGCUAUCCCGGGGCGUGAGGCACCCUUCCUACACCGGCAGAUGCACAUCCACGGAAGCCCGACCGGCGACGAACUCCACGAGUACGUGAGAAGCUUCUUCGCUGUCGAAAGUCUAGGCGUUAUAGCUGCACCUGGUGCCGUUGGUCCCGACGAGCAACGAGCAAUAAAAAUGCUAACAGAGACCACCAAGCGGACGGCAAGCGGCCGGUUUGAAACUGGACUUCUCUGGAGGCACGACUACAUCGAGUUUCCUGACAAUAGAGCGAUGGCUGAAAAACGGAUGAAGUGUCUAGAAAAACGUUUGCUGAGGGACCCCGUGCUGUACGACAACGUUCGGAAGCAGAUAGCAGAUUUUCAGCACAAGGGUUUUGCUCACAAAGCUACACCAGAGGAGCUGCAGCGUUUUGACCCACGCCGAACCUGGUAUCUGCCACUUGGCCUGGUGAUCAACCCGAAUAAACCCGGGAAAGUUCGCCUCAUUUGGGAUGCGGCGGCGAAGGUCGACGGAGUUUCGCUUAAUUCGAUGCUGCUCAAGGGACCCGACUUGCUUUCACCUUUGCUGUCCGUGCUCUUUAAGUUCCGGGAAAGGCAGGUUGCGAUUGGCGGUGACAUUGAGGCCAUGUUCCACCAGGUUCGGAUACGCGAAGCAGAUCGAAGCGCCCAGCUGUUCUAUUGGCGGGAUUCCCCUGAAAAGCCGUUGGAAACAAUGGUAACCGACGUUGCCAUUUUCGGUGCCAGCUGUUCACCCGCGCAUUCCCAGUACGUUAAAAAUCUAAAUGCCACUCAGCACGAAGUAGAUUACCCAAGGGCAGCAAAUGCAAUCCGGACAAAGCAUUAUGUCGACGACUACCUGGAUAGCGUCGACACAGCAGAGGAGGCGGCAGAGAUUGCGCUGGAGGUAGCCGAAGUUCACUCUAGAGCCGGGUUCCACAUCCGAAACUGGGUCUCCAACAACACUGCAGUACUGCAGAGAAUCGGAGCGGCCAAUCCAACAACGGUGAAGCGUUUCGUGAUGGACAAGGAUUGUGGUUUUGAGCGCCUGCUGGGUAUGGUUUGGUUGCCGGAGGAGGACAUGUUUACGUUUCGCCUGAGUUUCCGAGAAGACCACGAUUUGUUGCUGUCCGGAGAAGAAAUUCCCACCAAGCAGCAGCUACUGAGCGUUGUUAUGAGCAUUUACGAUCCAACCGGGUUCCUAGCAGCAUUCAUAAUUCACGGAAAGAUUAUAAUUCAGGACGUUUGGAGGUCAGGCGUGGAUUGGAAGAACAAAAUUCCAGAUGAGCUAGUCCAACGCUGGAAACAAUGGAUUGCGCUUCUUCCCAAGAUCGAGGACUUGAAAAUCCCUCGUUGCUACUUCCCUGGUUACCACCCGGACAGCCUGAAGUCACUAGAACUCCAUGUUUUCGUCGACGCGAGUGAGUUGGCCUUCUCUGCUGUGGCACACUUCCGACUUGUCGACAGAGGGUCCGUGCGGUGUGCUUUCGUGGCAAGCAAAACCAAGGUGGCGCCAUUGGACCCGCUAUCCAUACCGCGUCUCGAAGCAAACGCCGGUGUACUGGGUGUUCGUUUGCGUAAAUCCAUAGUGACCGGUCAUUCUCUACCUAUCACACGAACUCGUUUCUGGACUGACUCAAAGACCGUCCUUCAAUGGAUUAGGUCCAAGGAUCUUCGGCGCUACCGUCCGUACGUGGCCUUCCGGAUGAACGAAAUACUGUCCAUGUCAGCGGUCGCGGAGUGGGGGUAUUGUCCGUCCCGUCUGAACGUUGCGGAUCUCGCUACCAAGUGGGGAAAACAAGGUCCACCUCUGGAUAUCAACAGUCCUUUUUACCAGAGCCAGGAAUUUGUGUACGAUAAUCCAUCGGAAUGGCCGGAACCGUGCGAAGAUAUGGUGGAGCUGGCACCAGAAGAAUUGAGACCGUCAUUCGUGUUUGCUCAUUUCGUUCUGAAGCCAACGGUGAAAUGGGAGAGGUUUUCAAAGUGGGAGCGACUAUUGCGUACCAUGGCGUACGUCCAGCGAUUUAUCGCUCGCAAGCUGAACCGCGAGAAGAAGCCGUGGCAAGUCGACCUGACCCGAGAAGAGCUACAGAAAGCUGAGCAGAGUUUGUGGCGUCUUGCACAGUCUGAGGAGUACCCUGACGAGGUGGCCACUUUGAAUCAGAAUCAACGAGUUCCAGCUGAUCAGCGAGAAUCCCUGGAAAGGUCAAGCAACAUUGUUAAACUCUGCCCCAUGCUGGACGAUGCUGGAGUACUUCGCGUAAGUGGGCGCAUACAAGCUGCAGAAUGUGUCGGCUACGAUACCAAACACCCAGUAAUUCUUCCACGAGAUCACCCGGUGACGACUUUACUGCUGGAAUACUACCAUCGGCGGUUCCAGCACUCAAAUAAUGAAACUGUGGUGAAUGAAAUUCGGCAGAAUUUUAGCAUUCCUAAGCUGCGGGUGCUCGUGAGGCUCGUGUCCAAUAACUGCAAGUGGUGCGAAGUAUACAAGUCUACUCCAGUUAUACCACAGAUGGCACCCCUCCCGCGAGCUAGGUUGUCCCCAUUCCUGCGUCCGUUUACAUUCACCGGAGUGGACUACUUUGGGCCCUACCUGAUCAAGACGGGGCGCAGUGUUACAAAAAGAUGGGUUGCGCUUUUCACCUGCCUGACGAUCAGAGCUGUCCAUCUUGAGAUCGUUGCAAACCUUUCGACGGAGUCGUUCAAAAAGGCAGUUCGGAGGUUCAUCGCGCGUAGAGGGGCACCUCAAGAAAUCUAUUCGGACCGAGGAACCAACUUCCAAGGAGCUAGCAGUGAGUUAACGAAGGAAAUAAGUUUGAGCAUCAACAAGGAGCUGGCCAGUACGUUCACCGAUGCUCAUACUCAGUGGCGUUUCAAUCCCCCCGCGGCACCGCACAUGGGAGGCUCGUGGGAGAGGAUGGUGCGUUCCGUGAAAGCUGCGCUAGGAGCGAUACCGUUGGAGCGCAAAUUGGACGAGGAAUCGAUGGUGACCAUGUUAACAGAGGCGGAGCACAUGGUGAAUUCCCGCCCACUUACGUUUAUCCCUUUAGAAGGCGCCGAUCAGGAAUCGCUCACGCCGAAUCAUUUUUUACUCAUGAGUUCGAGCGGGGUUCAACAGCCAGUGAAGGAUCCGAUGUGCGAAGGCGCGGCUUUGAGAAACAGCUGGAACCAGAUCCAGCACGCCUUAGAUGAGUUUUGGCGACGGUGGGUAAGGGAAUAUUUGCCAACUUUAUCAAGACGAUCGAAAUGGUUCGAGGAAACGCGGCCGCUCAGAGAAGGAGAUCUUGUGGUCGUCGUAGAUGAGGGAACGCGAAAUCGCUGGCAAAGAGGACGAGUUUUGCGGACGUAUCCGGGCAAGGACGGGCGUGUACGACGGGUAGAUGUGCAAACAGCUAAAGGGAUUCUACCAAGUCGCGCAGUCGCCAGAUUGGCAUUACUGGAUGUAGGAAAUGUUGGUGACGCCGAAGGAACACUUCCGGCGACACGAGGGGGAGAAUGUUAGUACCAAUCUGCGCUGACGAUACCCCCCGUUGGGGCUAGAGCCACUGGCUAUACAUGAGCUUUAGUUUUCUGGUAGGGAGAAGAACGUCAGUGUGACUUGUCAGGGUCGUUUGUUAUCACAGUGCAAUUUCACCUAAUCAAACGCACAUACGCAAUCGAAACUGCAGUAGAAUUACUAAUCUAAAGAUUCUACCUAGGAUUGCGCGAAUCGAAGAGUUUUUUUCUGUUUUAGUGGACGAACUUAAAAAGGGCACUAAAUGUAAAUAUGAAAUUUACCGUCAUGAAGACACAGCAACUAAUAAAUCUCCCUUUUUAGCUUUGAGCUGAACCACAGUAAGAACUAAGUCUGCUUCUUUGAUUGGCCCGAACUAAUACCGC